rnacentral:lncRNA from 1 species
UUGUUUCUUAAACUUUAAUAUGAUCACUCAAUACACAUGCAACAUAUAUUAUAGCUUUGUUUUUCAUUUUUUAUGAAUCGAAGGAGAUGUAAGUGUACAAUAAUGAGACGUCAACUCAAUGAAAAAAUAAUCAAAUGACAUCAAUUAUGUGGUUAAUAUGCGUUUUUAUAAAAAGACCGAUUUAUUUACAAUGGAUCAAGCUUCUAAUUGUUUUCCACCAUCGUUGAAAAGCUUAACAGGCCACAAGUUAUAUUAAAGCCAGGUUUCUGCUGUUCAAUAUUUAUCCUUGAUCUAGAUUCGUAUUUUGUUUUUUAUCUUUGAUUUACUUUGAAAUUCGUAUUUUGUUUUAAUCUUUGGAAAACUGUGAAAGAUUGCAAUAUUCGAUUUUUUUUUAAAUAAUAUAUAUAUACUGUUUAUCAUGUACACCUUUUUUCACGUUGGUAAAUGUGGCCUCUUUGUGUGGUGUUUUCAAUUUACAAAGCAUUUGUUCUAACUUUUUGCUAGGCUAUGUAUCGAAAACUUCUGUCUACUCCAGAGCAUCUGAUUUCACUCCCGGUUUUAAGUGGAGUUCGUGUUGUUUCUUAUUUAUUAUUUAUAACUAUUGAUGUAAAUGUCCUUUGGUUUUGUGAGUCUUUGAUAACUCCUUGGUUUUGAUUGUUAUUGUAUUUUACUUCAAAGUAUUCAAGGAUGUGUAACACAAAUGGUUGACGUUGCAGAAAAAAAAUAAUUAUUUUUGUCUUUGUUUUGACAAUAAUAUAGGGAAAAUAUUCUACUUAAGCUUACAGAAAAGUUUCUUCGUAUUCUCUAUACUAAACAUGCGGUAAAUGACACGUAAACCUAAACCUAUGCAUUUGUUUCUCCUAAGCCCUGGUGGAUAAAAGAGCGAAGGACAAACUAGAUGUUGGUUGGAACUAUUCCUAAUAUUUCUAUGUAUUUUCUACUAGAGGUUGACGUCUCAAACUAAUUUUCAACAAUUGACAUUGUUUUCAAUUUACAAAGCAUAUU